rnacentral:lncRNA from 1 species
ACAACAUUUGUUAGCAUUUAUGUCUUACAUCAAUCACUACUCAAACAGCUGUAAAUCAUGUAUAGUAACAUAUUGUUUUCCACGCUAAUAUAAAAGUGAAAAAAAAAAAGAAACAGGGAAUGGAUCAAAGAGACACAUGCUUUGAUGAAUGUGACAAAUAUAAAGAACAAAUAAAUUUCAAACAUGUUAUGUUUUAGGUCCCUUGAUAACAACAAAAUUACCAGGCUCAAUGCGAAUUUAUUUCGAGGUUUAGCGGCUUUGAGAUUCUUGUAAGUAACUUGAUCCUGCAAAAAAAAAAAAAAAUAAAAAAAAAAAAUGGGCCACCAUGUGUAUAUUAUUUACUUUCACAUUGUAUUACACUUCUCUUGAAAGUUUGCGCACACUGGUAUCUUUAUAGCUGUGUAAAAUAUGUUAGAUAAUAAUUUAUAUUUUCAAAAUCAUUUAUCUAAAUUGAUACAUUUGUCGAAGAAAAAGUGAAAUGUAAUGGGUUUUAUAACACAUAAACUAGUUUACAAACAUCUUUACCCACAUCCAUGUUAGCCAUCUCUUUCUAUUUCAAGCUGUUUCUUAUCCUGAAAAUUAAAAUAUGUUUCAAAAUUACAUUCAAAAUGUUAUUUUUCAGGUUCCUUUACAGCAAUAAAAUUUCCAUAUUUGAUAAAAAUCAAUUUCGAGGAUUGACGGUUCUUGAAUCCUUGU